GCUGUUGUCUGUGGCUGGAACAAAGCCUUGCAUAUCAACCCUAUGGCACAUAUGAUUGAAAAGCUCCGAAAUUGAAUGCUUUUUCUGGAGUCCUGUGAGCAAGACGAGCUGUUUUCUCCUGACGGAAACGAUGGCCUACCUUGAUCAGACUGCUGCGUCGAGGAAUUGGUUUGGAGGCUGAAACUGAACCCGCGCUCUCCGACGUCGGGGACUCGCAGCUGGAUUCGUUUUGGACCCUCUUCACGGUGUCUGACACGCUGCAGUUUCCGUUUGACACCGGCUCUCCUCGGUGCGUCUCCAGACUCAUUCCGGCUCCUCCUGACGCAGCCUUCCAGCCAGCAACCGGCAGACCGACGGCUCUUUUGUUCUCUCCAAAUUCAGCCAUGGUGACACGUUUUUUUUGGGAUUUCUCAGAUCUCUUGAAAGCGCCGGGGCUCCGAACGCAACAGCGCUGCACGCGGACGCAGACGUGCCAUCAUUUGAAGUGAGCGAUAGGCGACCGUGCGCCAAGAGCAGAGGAAACUUCUCUCUCUCUCGCUCUCUCUCUCUCUCUCUCUCUCUCUCUCUCUCUCUCUCUCUCUCUCUCUCUCUCUCUAGGUGACAGGAGGAGAGACAGCCGAGCGACAGCAGUGACCGACACCUACUAGACCUCGACCGCCAACACUCAACACAUCUCCGGCCGCUAUGUGCGCUUACGUUCAGGAAAUGCACAUGUUAUGGCUGUCUGCUCCUCCUCCGCCACCGCCGCCUUAAUACAUCCUCUUCCCACUGUGCUAAAGAACAACGUAGCCUACACCAUGAUGAUUUCUACAUAACAUCAGCUCCUACUGUCUCCCUCUCGCGCUGUCUCGCUCCAGUCUUCAUCAGCAGCCACUGGGUUUAUGAGUGCAGCGGGCCAACAUCUGUCACCGCUCUGUCAGAUGGCUUGUUUGUUCUUUUCUGGUUCUCCAGCAACGGAGUGUGUGUUUUAUUCGUGCUACUUUCUAUUAAUGGUUGAUAUGCUUUAUAGAUGAUCCGCCAAUUUUGGGUGACAAGUUGUGGAAUAUCUCCUUAAUUGGUUUGAUAGUUUAUUUCUAGAAAAGGGCUGCAGAAUAGCUUGACCAGAAUCUAUUCACUAACAACUUUUGAACAUUUACAACUGCCGAUUUGGUAAUUAAAACCCCCUAUUAAUGACUUAGUAACGUGCACAGCUGCAAACAUGACAAUGAAAUCCUUUUAAUAAUCACUUAGUAAUAUAGCUAUUUAUAACCGAAUACCGUAUAUUAAACCCUUUAUUAAUGACUUAUUAACAUCUAUAACUGCAGACUUGGUGAUUAAAACCCUCUUAAUGAUUUAUUAGCCUCUUUGUAGACUAGAUAUUCAAACCCUUUAUUAUUUACUUGGCAAUAGUAGAAAGCAUGAUUAUGUCAUCCGUCUAUGCCUUGAAAAAGUAAGCUAUUGUCAGGGUAUAUUUGCAGUUUAGACUUGCACUCAAAUUAAUAUUCUUUUCUGGUAUGCACUUUUGAGACAGUCCCUUGCAUACCUAAACACAGUAGAAUGCACCAUCAACUGCCUCUCUAAAUUUCAAUUGAAAUCAAGGUCAGGGAUUUUGCUCAAGGAUUCAGGGGGACAUUUUUGUGAUGCAUUGCUCAGGGAUAAAUGCCAAGAUGCAUUCCUCAAGGGUAAAUGUCAAAUAAAACGAAUGAGUUUACUUCUUUUUUGCCCUAAAUGCAAUUACUAGAAUUUAAUAAAUUCUCAGUAAGAAAGUAUAGAGAGCAGUGCAUGCAGGUCCUAUGGGUAGACUGGUUUUCAUAUUUUCUGAACUGCAGUGUUUCUGUGACUCUGCAAGACGACAAACACCACGCUCCAAAUAGCUGAAAUGAUUUUGCUUGUUGACACGCAGUUAUACCAAUACUCAAACCAAAUCAAGGUCAGUGCAACGUUCACUGAUGUGAAACCAAUGUGUUGUGUGAUUUAUGUGAUGAAGGUUCCCUCCAUUUUAAUCGAAUUCCCCCGUAACAAAACAGUCUACAGAGUUAAUCAUUUAAAUCUGAAAAGACAGGAUGUUCUUCCAUUUCAUUAUCAGCUCAACAUUAACAUAUGGUGACUCCAGUAAAAGCUGUGCACCAGGGUG